UUUACUCCUUCACAGUUGGUCACUCUUUUUAAGGGCCUUUACUCAUGCUUUUAACAGCAGCAGAAGAUGCAAGGCCAAGGAGGUAAUGUUUCCCUUGGCAUAAUGAUACACCAGGCUGUUAACUGAAGAGGAACAGAAGUGAAUGAGUUCAGAAGAAUCAAAGACUUUUAUUCCCCGACAAUAUUCCUGCUUUGUUUUCGUAUGGAUUAAUAAAGACUUCCCGACGCGAGUCAGACAAAUGGGAUUGUCGGUGAGACGUAAGGCUUGGCCCUCCUCCCUCUCCUCCCUUUCAUCCAGGAUGGCAAAGCGUUUUAUAAAGAUGAUUGAAUAUGCAGCAGUGCUUGCGAGUUAGAUCUGCUAGUUUACCUUUAAAAAAGGCUUCACCAUAGAAACAGAGGGAAGACAUCAGAAGAACCAUGGAUUUGACAGAAGGCCUGUUUAUUCCUAUAUUCUGUUCACAUGUGGCCACUCUCCUGCGUCUGGAUACCCCACCAGCAGAACAAGUGCAACAGAAACCUCAUUUCUAUAUUCACUAGCAAGUGAUGUGCAGAGGAAUGUUGCCUCUGACACCAGAUAUGAUAUGGGGACAUCUUGACUGGGAGAAAUGGAUGACCCUGAUGUUCAUGAAUUCAUCUAAUCCCAGUUUGAAGCCAUUGCUACACCUUGCGACACAGGAUUCCGCAGUUUAAUUCUGCAUUAUAUGGCGAAGCAAUGACAACUGUAUUCCUCCCUUCCUUCCUUUUCACUUAUUAACAAGAAAUAAACAAUAAUUUAUUAAGUAAA